rnacentral:rRNA from 1 species
GAUGAACGCUGGCGGCGUGCUUAACACAUGCAAGUCGAACGAUGAAGCCCAGCUUGCUGUGUGGGUUAGUGGCGAACGGGUGAGUAACACGUGAGUAACCUGCCCUUGUCUAUGGGAUAAGCCUCGGAAACUGGGUCUAAUACUGGCUAUGACUUCUCAUCGCUUGGUGGGGGGUGGGAAGAUUUAUGGGUCUUGGAUGGACUCGCGGCCUAUCAGCUUGUUGGUGAGGUAAUUGCUCACCAAGGCGACGACGGGUAGCCGGCCUGAGAGGGUGACAGGCCACAGUGUGAUAGGGGAGGGGGCAAUACUGCUACUGGCGACAGCAGUGGGAAACAUUGCACGAUGGGCGGAAGCCGGAUGCAGCGACGCCGCGUGAGGGAUGACGGCCUUCGGGGUGUAAACAUCUUUCAGCAGGGAAGAAGCGAGAGUGACGGUACCUGCCGAAGAAGCGACGGCUAACUACGUG